rnacentral:rRNA from 1 species
GCUCCAGUAGCGUAUAUUAAAGUUGUUGCAGUUAAAAAGCUCGUAGUUGGAUUUCUGGCUUGAGAGACUUGGCCGCCGGGUAACCGUGUGAGUGCUUUGUUUCUCUGCCAUCCUUGUGGAGAUCGGGCCUGCUAUUCAUUUAGUUGGGUUCGCGAUCCACAUCUUUUACUUUGAAAAAAUUAGAGUGUUUAAAGCAGGCG